GAGGCACCAGUGGGGAAUAUUGGACA
rnacentral:rRNA from 1 species